UACGAAGGGUGCAAGCGUUAAUCGGAAUUACUGGGCGUAAAGCGUGCGCAGGCGGUUCGCUAAGACCGAUGUGAAAUCCCCGGGCUUAACCUGGGAAUUGCGUUGGAGACUGCAAGGCUGGAGUCUGGCAGAGGGGGGUAGAAUUCCACGUGUAGCAGUGAAAUGCGUAGAGAUGUGGAGGAACACCGAUGGCGAAGGCAGCCCCCUGGGUCAAGACUGACGCUCAUGCACGAAAGCGUGGGGAGCAAACAGG
rnacentral:rRNA from 1 species